rnacentral:rRNA from 1 species
UACGUAGGGGGCAAGCGUUGUCCGGAUUUAUUGGGCGUAAAGAGCGUGUAGGCGGCCAAGUAAGUCUGCUGUGAAAACUCGAGGCUUAACCUCGAGCUGUCGGUGGAAACUGUCUGGCUAGAGUCCGGAAGAGGAGAAUGGAAUUCCUGGUGUAGCGGUGAAAUGCGCAGAUAUCAGGAAGAACACCCGUGGCGAAGGCGGUUCUCUGGGACGGUACUGACGCUGAGACGCGAAAGCGUGGGGAGCGAACAGG